rnacentral:misc_RNA from 1 species
GAUGAAGAACGCAGCGAAAUGCGAUAAGUAAUGUGAAUUGCAGAAUUCAGUGAAUCAUCGAGUCUUUGAACGCACAUUGCGCCCCAUGGUAUUCCGGGGGGCAUGCCUGUCCGAGCGUCAUUGCUGCCCUCAAGCACGGCUUGUGUGUUGGGCCUCCGUCCUCCUCCCGGGGGACGGGCCCGAAAGGCAGCGGCGGCACCGCGUCCGGUCCUCGAGCGUAUGGGGCUUCGUCACCCGCUCUUGUAGGCCCGGCCGGCGCUUGCCGACACAUCAAUCUUUUUUCCAGGUUGACCUCGGAUCAGGUAGGGAUACCCGCUGAACUUAAGCAUAUCAUAAGCGGAGGA